CCUGGCUCAGGAUGAACGCUGGCGGCGCGCCUAACACAUGCAAGUCGAACGGAGCUUAGAGAGCUUGCUUUUUAAGCUUAGUGGCGAACGGGUGAGUAACGCGUGAGUAACCUGCCCUAGAGUGGGGGACAACAGUUGGAAACGACUGCUAAUACCGCAUAAUGUGUUUUGGGGGCAUCCCCGGAACACCAAAGAUUUAUUGCUGAAAGAUGGUCUCGCGUCUGAUUAGAUAGUUGGUGGGGUAACGGCCUACCAAGUCGACGAUCAGUAGCCGGACUGAGAGGUUGAACGGCCACAUUGGGACUGAGAUACGGCCCAGACUCCUACGGGAGGCAGCAGUGGGGAAUAUUGGGCAAUGGGGGAAACCCUGACCCAGCAACGCCGCGUGAAGGAAGAAGGCUUUCGGGUUGUAAACUUCUUUUACCAGGGACGAAGGACGUGACGGUACCUGGAGAAAAAGCCACGGCUAACUACGUGCCAGCAGCCGCGGUAAUACGUAGGUGGCAAGCGUUGUCCGGAAUUACUGGGUGUAAAGGGAGCGCAGGCGGGAAGACAAGUUGGAAGUGAAAUCUAUGGGCUCAACCCAUAAACUGCUUUCAAAACUGUUUUUCUUGAGUAGUGCAGAGGUAGGCGGAAUUCCCGGUGUAGCGGUGGAAUGCGUAGAUAUCGGGAGGAACACCAGUGGCGAAGGCGGCCUACUGGGCACCAACUGACGCUGAGGCUCGAAAGUGUGGGUAGCAAACAGGAUUAGAUACCCUGGUAGUCCACACCGUAAACGAUGAUUACUAGGUGUUGGAGGAUUGACCCCUUCAGUGCCGCAGUUAACACAAUAAGUAAUCCACCUGGGGAGUACGACCGCMAGGUUGAAACUCAAAGAAAUUGACGG
rnacentral:rRNA from 1 species